GCGUCGGUAGUGCAGUGAUUAGCAUACGCUCCCGGAAAGAGUGAGAUCUGGGUUCGAAUCCCAGUUGACGCA